GACGAACGCUGGCGGCGUGCUUAACACAUGCAAGUCGAGCGGAGCGGCGAACGGGUGAGUAACGCGUGAGUAACUGCCCCCCUCUCUGGGAUAACAGUUGGAAACUGCUGCUAAUACCGGAUAGUGGGGGAUGACUCGCGUCCUAUCAGCUUGUUGGUGGGGUGGGGGCCUACCAAGGCGACGACGGGUAGCCGGCCGGAGAGGGCGACCGGCCCAAUGGCGCUGAGGUACGGACAAAGCUGCUACGGGAGGCAGCAGGGGGGAAUAGUGCACACUGGGGGAAACCCUGAUGCAGCAACGCCGCGUGCGGGAUGACGGCCUUCGGGUUGUAAACCGCUUUCAGCCAUGACGCGGUAGUGGCAGAAGAAGCACCGGCUAACUACGUGCCAGCAGCCGCGGUAAUUC
rnacentral:rRNA from 1 species